UACGUAGGGUGCGAGCGUUGUCCGGAAUUACUGGGCGUAAAGAGCUCGUAGGUGGUUUGUCGCGUUGUUCGUGAAAACUCACAGCUCAACUGUGGGCGUGCGGGCGAUACGGGGCAGACUGGAGUACUGCAGGGGAGACUGGAAUUCCUGGUGUAGCGGUGGAAUGCGCAGAUAUCAGGAGGAACACCGGUGGCGAAGGCGGGGUCUCUGGGCAGUAACUGACGCUGAGGAGCGAAAGCGUGGGGAGCGAACAGG
rnacentral:rRNA from 1 species